CGCGUAGGCGGUCUCUUAAGUCAGAUGUGAAAGCCCUCGGCUUAACCGAGGAAGUGCAUUUGAUACUAGGAGACUUGAGUAUGGGAGAGGGAAGCGGAAUUCCUGGUGUAGCGGUGAAAUGCGUAGAUAUCAGGAGGAACACCGGUGGCGAAGGCGGCUUCCUGGACCAAUACUGACGCUGAGGCGCGAAGGCGUGGGGAGCAAACA
rnacentral:rRNA from 1 species